UAAAACUGAUAAAGGAACUAUUUUUGUGACCGAACACGCUUAUACGCUACUCUUAGUUUUAUUCCGCUGCGUUAUACUCUUCGAACCAUACUCCCCCUGGUACCAACAAUUGGUAUUAGAGCUUGCUUUGAUAGUUUUUCAAAAUAUUUGCGAAAAUGGCUGGUCACAACCAAAACCUUUGUAUAUGCCGAGGGUGCUUCUAUUAACAGACCACCACUUUUUACUGGUGAUAACUAUGCCUUUUGGAAAAUUAAA
rnacentral:lncRNA from 1 species